rnacentral:rRNA from 1 species
UACGGAAGGUCCGGGCGUUAUCCGGAUUUAUUGGGUUUAAAGGGAGCGCAGGCGGGAUAUUAAGCGUGACGUGAAAUGUAGGUGCUCAACAUCUGCACUGCGUCGCGAACUGGUAUUCUUGAGUGCAUUCGACGCUGGCGGAAUUCGUGGUGUAGCGGUGAAAUGCUUAGAUAUCACGAAGAACUCCGAUUGCGAAGGCAGCCGGCGAGACUGUAACUGACGCUAAAGCUCGAAAGUGCGGGUAUCGAAC